rnacentral:rRNA from 1 species
GUGAGGAAUUUUCCGCAAUGGGCGAAAGCCUGACGGAGCAAUGCCGCGUGAAGGAUGAAGGCCUAUGGGUAGUAAACUUCUUUUCUUAGAGAAGAAUAUUGCCGGUAUCUGAGGAAUAAGCAUCGGCUAACUCUGUGCCAGCAGCCGCGGUAAGACAGAGGAUGCAAGCGUUAUCCGGCAUGAUUGGGCGUAAAGCGUCUGUAGGUGGCUUCAAAAGUCUCCUGUCAAAGAUCAGGGCUUAACCCUGGGCCGGCAGGAGAAACUCUGAGGCUAGAGUUUGGUAGGGGCAGAGGGAAUUCCCGGUGGAGCGGUGAAAUGCGUAGAGAUCGGGAGGAACACCAAAGGCGAAAGCACUCUGCUGGGCAACAACGGACACUGAGAGGCGAAAGCGAGGGGAGCAAAAGGGAUUAGAAACCCCUGUAGUCC